CUACGGGAUGCAGCAGUGAGGAAUAUUGCACAAUGGGGGGAACCCUGAUGCAGCAACGCCGCGUGGAGGAUGGCGCAUUUCGGUGUGUAAACUCCUUUUAUAUGUCAAGAAAAUGACGGUAGCAUAUGAAUAAGCACCGACUAACUCCGUGCCAGCAGCCGCGGUAAUACGGAGGGUGCGAGUGUUACUCGGAAUCACUGGGCGUAAAGGACGCGUAGGCGGGUUGGAAAGUCAGGUGUGAAAUCCUACAGCUUAACUGUAGAACUGCACUUGAAACUUCUAAUCUAGAGUAUGGGAGGGGGAGAUGGAAUUAGUGGUGUAGGGGUAAAAUCCGUAGAUAUCACUAGGAAUACCUAAAGCGAAGGCGAUCUCCUGGAACAUUACUGACGCUAAGGCGUGAAAGCGUGGGGAGCAAACAGGAUUAGAUACCCCAGUAGUC
rnacentral:rRNA from 1 species